rnacentral:rRNA from 1 species
AUACGGAGGGUGAAAGCGUUAACCGGAAUUACUGGGCGUAAAGCGUACGUAGGCGGUUUAUUAAGUCAGAUGUGAAAGCCCCGGGCUUAACCUGGGAACUGCAUUUGAAACUAGUAGACUAGAGUAUGGUAGAGGGGGGUAGAAUUCCUAGUGUAGCGGUGAAAUGCGUAGAUAUUAGGAGGAAUACCAGUGGCGAAGGCGGCCCCCUGGACCAAUACUGACGCUGCGGUACGAAAGCGUGGGGAGCGAACAGGAUUAGAAACCCUAGUAGUCC